ensembl:lncRNA
CGGCAAGAUGUUGUAGGCCUCUUCUCCCAGGAGGCUUAGUGGGAAGUGGGAACACUAGAAGCCUUCUCCCUUUCCUACUCUUUGGCUCUGCAUCUUGGUUCUGAGAGGUCCCUCCAAGGCAUCCAUCUGCUCCUGGCAAACACCAUUCCAACACCUGUGAUCCAGAUGUACACAGCUGCAUGGAAGGUGUUGUUUCUGAUCCAGCCUUAAUGUGAACCAUGCUUAAGAAUGGUUACAAAUGGCUCCAUAAAAAAGACAAAAUGCAUAGCACAGGCUGGGAAUUCACAGUAAAAAGAAAGCCUUGAGGUUGAUAAAGCCUACCACCAAGUCAGGUUGCUGAAACAAACUUGUAACUGCAAGAAGCAGGAUCAAAAGAAACUGCUGAGAAGAGCAUGAUUUUUGUUUUCUUUUGGGACCCACCAUGAGUUGGAUGGCAGCUCAGGGGCAUCGGGGGACUUUGAUCUGGAGAUGCAUUAGUGAGCUUGAACGCUAGAACUCGUCUCUCCUGAGGAUGUUCCUGACUGUUCCCGUGCAUCUGGAGGCGCUACUGCUGGUGGAGUUCUACUAGAUGGAGGUCUGCAAAUGAGCAGGCUGUUGACCAAUGGGUUUAUUCCUUAUUUUUACAUUUUUUUUUGUCCGAUGUAUGCACAAGAACUACCAGAUGGAUCUAUCACAUCUCCUGGAACUUCACAGUUUUGAUUUGGUAGCACUAACAUGACUGCAGACAAUCUUACUUAAGGUCAUAGAAGCGAAGUCACUGCACAGCUACUGGGAGGAGCAGUUUAUUUAGAAGACAAGCAACCUUACGAGUUGCUUGUCAUAAAUGAGAUUUAGUUGUUUUUUCUGCAAAACAGUGAAAAAGCUGCUUCCUCUUGGUCUCUCCUGUGAUGCUCCUAUGUCAGACAAGAUGGUAAUCUGCAUAAAUCAAAAUUUAUAUAGCCUUUCAAACUUCAAAGCAGGUGAUGUUUCAACUUACUAUGCCAAGGAUGGAAUCGUUUGGAACCAGAACCUGUCUCCGCGCACAGAAGGACGCCAAUGAACUCUCUCCUUCGUAACAGGUGAUAAAUGAUUUUAGUAUUUAAGCAAGGUGUCUGCCUUCACCUGGAAAAUCAGAAUUGGCAAAGCUACUUAAAGAAAUUUGCUUAUAUAGAGAUGUCAG